rnacentral:lncRNA from 1 species
UCGCUCAGUCCAAUAUUCCUUCGUUUCUGAAUGACGUGGAGCCAGAUAACACUGCUUGGAUGCCAGAUAAUUCUGGAAAUGAUGGAAAUCCGUCACCACCUGCGCCAGUAACACCCACACCACCCACAACGCCCGCAACUCCCUCACCAUCAGCAGGUUCACCACCUGCGUCGACUGGAGCUUGUCCCGGAGAUCCUGGAUACCAAGAACCAUGGGAUUCAACUUUCUGGGAUAACUUCAACAUCGUCACCAAUGGUACACACGU